rnacentral:rRNA from 1 species
UACGGAGGGAGCUAGCGUUAUUCGGAAUUACUGGGCGUAAAGCGCACGUAGGCGGCUUUGUAAGUAAGAGGUGAAAGCCUGGAGCUCAACUCCAGAACUGCCUUUUAGACUGCAUCGCUUGAAUCCAGGAGAGGUGAGUGGAAUUCCGAGUGUAGAGGUGAAAUUCGUAGAUAUUCGGAAGAACACCAGUGGCGAAGGCGGCUCACUGGCCCGGUGCUGACGCUGAGGUGCGAAAGCGUGGGGAGCAAACAGG